AGACAGCAGUAGCCACGGUAAUACGUAGGUGGCAAGCGUUGUCCGGAAUUAUUGGGCGUAAAGGGCUCGCAGGCGGUUUCUUAAGUCUGAUGUGAAAGCCCCCGGCUCAACCGGGGAGGGUCAUUGGAAACUGGAAACUUGAGUGCAGAAGAGGAGAGUGGAAUUCCACGUGUAGCGGUGAAAUGCGUAGAGAUGUGGAGGAACACCAGUGGCGAAGGCGACUCUCUGGUCUGUAACUGACGCUGAGGAGCGAAAGCGUGGGGAGCGAACAGGAUUAGAUACCCCCGUAGUCCCUGUCUCUUAUACA
rnacentral:rRNA from 1 species